UCUUUCCUACGGGGGGCAGCAGUGGGGAAUAUUGGGCAAUGGGCGCAAGCCUGACCCAGCAACGCCGCGUGAAGGAAGAAGGCUUUCGGGUUGUAAACUUCUUUUCUCAGGGACGAAGAAAGUGACGGUACCUGAGGAAUAAGCCACGGCUAACUACGUGCCAGCAGCCGCGGUAAUACGUAGGUGGCAAGCGUUAUCCGGAUUUACUGGGUGUAAAGGGCGUGUAGGCGGGACAGCAAGUCAGAUGAGAAAACCAUG
rnacentral:rRNA from 1 species